rnacentral:rRNA from 1 species
GGGUUGUGAGGUUAAGCGACUAAGCGUACACGGUGGAUGCCCUGGCAGUCAGAGGCGAUGAAGGGCGUGCUAAUCUGCGAUAAGCGCCGGUAAGGUGAUAUGAACCGUUAUAACCGGCGAUACCCGAAUGGGGAAACCCAGUGUGACUCGUCACACUAUCAUUAACUGAAUCCAUAGGUUAAUGAGGCGAACCGGGGGAACUGAAACAUCUAAGUACCCCGAGGAAAAGAAAUCAACCGAGAUUCCCCAGUAGCGGCGAGCGAACGGGAGGAGCCCAGAGCCUGAAUCAGCAUGUGUGUUAGUGGAAGCGUCUGGAAAGGCGCGCGAUACAGGUGACAGCCCCGUACACAAAAGCGCAUGUGCUGUGAGCUCGAUGAGUAGGGCGGGACACGUGGUAUCCUGUCUGAAUAUGGGGGGACCAUCCUCCAAGGCUAAAUACUCCUGACUGACCGAUAGUGAACCAGUACCGUGAGGGAAAGGCGAAAAGAACCCCGGCGAGGGGAGUGAAAAAGAACCUGAAACCGUGUACGUACAAGCAGUGGGAGCACCCUUUGGGGUGUGACUGCGUACCUUUUGUAUAAUGGGUCAGCGACUUAUAUUCUGUAGCAAGGUUAACCGAAUAGGGGAGCCGGAGGGAAACCGAGUCUUAAUUGGGCGUUAAGUUGCAGGGUAUAGACCCGAAACCCGGUGAUCAGCCAUGGGCAGGUUGAAGGUUGGGUAACACUAACUGGAGGACCGAACCGACUAAUGUUGAAAAAUUAGCGGAUGACCUGUGGCUGGGGGUGAAAGGCCAAUCAAACCGGGAGAUAGCUGGUUCUCCCCGAAAGCUAUUUAGGUAGCGCCUCGUGAAUUCAUCUCCGGGGGUAGAGCACUGUUUCGGCUAGGGGGCCAUCCCGGCUUACCAACCCGAUGCAAACUGCGAAUACCGGAGAAUGUUAUCACGGGAGACACACGGCGGGUGCUAACGUCCGUCGUGAAGAGGGAAACAACCCAGACCGCCAGCUAAGGUCCCAAAGUCAUGGUUAAGUGGGAAACGAUGUGGGAAGGCCCAGACAGCCAGGAUGUUGGCUUAGAAGCAGCCAUCAUUUAAAGAAAGCGUAAUAGCUCACUGGUCGAGUCGGCCUGCGCGGAAGAUGUAACGGGGCUAAACCAUGCACCGAAGCUGCGGCAGCGACACUCAGGUGUUGUUGGGUAGGGGAGCGUUCUGUAAGCCUGUGAAGGUGGCCUGUGAGGGUUGCUGGAGGUAUCAGAAGUGCGAAUGCUGACAUAAGUAACGAUAAAGCGGGUGAAAAGCCCGCUCGCCGGAAGACCAAGGGUUCCUGUCCAACGUUAAUCGGGGCAGGGUGAGUCGACCCCUAAGGCGAGGCCGAAAGGCGUAGUCGAUGGGAAACGGGUUAAUAUUCCCGUACUUGGUGUUACUGCGAAGGGGGGACGGAGAAGGCUAUGUUGGCCGGGCGACGGUUGUCCCGGUUUAAGCGUGUAGGUGUGUUCCAGGUAAAUCCGGUUCACUUUAACACUGAGGCGUGAUGACGAGGCACUACGGUGCUGAAGCAACAAAUGCCCUGCUUCCAGGAAAAGCCUCUAAGCAUCAGGUAACAUCAAAUCGUACCCCAAACCGACACAGGUGGUCAGGUAGAGAAUACCAAGGCGCUUGAGAGAACUCGGGUGAAGGAACUAGGCAAAAUGGUGCCGUAACUUCGGGAGAAGGCACGCUGACAUGUAGGUGAAGUGAUUUACUCACGGAGCUGAAGUCAGUCGAAGAUACCAGCUGGCUGCAACUGUUUAUUAAAAACACAGCACUGUGCAAACACGAAAGUGGACGUAUACGGUGUGACGCCUGCCCGGUGCCGGAAGGUUAAUUGAUGGGGUCAGCGCAAGCGAAGCUCCUGAUCGAAGCCCCGGUAAACGGCGGCCGUAACUAUAACGGUCCUAAGGUAGCGAAAUUCCUUGUCGGGUAAGUUCCGACCUGCACGAAUGGCGUAAUGAUGGCCAGGCUGUCUCCACCCGAGACUCAGUGAAAUUGAACUCGCUGUGAAGAUGCAGUGUACCCGCGGCAAGACGGAAAGACCCCGUGAACCUUUACUAUAGCUUGACACUGAACAUUGAGCCUUGAUGUGUAGGAUAGGUGGGAGGUUUUGAAGUGUGGACGCCAGUCUGCAUGGAGCCGGCCUUGAAAUACCACCCUUUAAUGUUUGAUGUUCUAACGUGGACCCGUGAUCCGGGUUGCGGACAGUGUCUGGUGGGUAGUUUGACUGGGGCGGUCUCCCAAAGAGUAACGGAGGAGCACGAAGGUUGGCUAAUCUGGUCGGACAUCAGGAGGUUAGUGCAAUGGCAUAAGCCAGCUUGACUGCGAGCGUGACGGCGCGAGCAGGUGCGAAAGCAGGUCAUAGUGAUCCGGUGGUUCUGAAUGGAAGGGCCAUCGCUCAACGGAUAAAAGGUACUCCGGGGAUAACAGGCUGAUACCGCCCAAGAGUUCAUAUCGACGGCGGUGUUUGGCACCUCGAUGUCGGCUCAUCACAUCCUGGGGCUGAAGUAGGUCCCAAGGGUAUGGCUGUUCGCCAUUUAAAGUGGUACGCGAGCUGGGUUUAGAACGUCGUGAGACAGUUCGGUCCCUAUCUGCCGUGGGCGCUGGAGAACUGAGGGGGGCUGCUCCUAGUACGAGAGGACCGGAGUGGACGCAUCACUGGUGUUCGGGUUGUCAUGCCAAUGGCACUGCCCGGUAGCUAAAUGCGGAAGAGAUAAGUGCUGAAAGCAUCUAAGCACGAAACUUGCCCCGAGAUGAGUUCUCCCUGAGACUUAGAGUCUCCUGAAGGAACGUUGAAGACGACAACGUUGAUAGGCCGGGUGUGUAAGCGCAGCGAUGCGUUGAGCUAACCGGUACUAAUGAACCGUGAGGCUUAACCUUACAACGCCGAAG